CCGUCAGUAACCGUUCAUCCCGCUUCCUCUCAUCCUCACCCUGAUUUUUCGGAUCUUGAGCAGCCUCGGCGAUUUCCGGUGGUGGCCUGGUGGUCGUCGGCAGGGACGCCAUCCUCCGUCCGCCGGAAGAGAAUGAUUAAGUGAUGUCGUCGGCUGCCUUUCCUCCCACAACCUUUUUUCAAGGCAGUUGGGGAUCUGAAAUUGAAUCCAAUCACUUCUUCAUAGCCGGUGAAGGAGGGGCGGUGGAGGCCAUCCAUAUGCUGCAACAUAUCCGGCGGCCAUCCAUAUGCUGGGAGCCACAGCGUCGCCUGUGGUGGGAGAGGACGCCACAUAUCAGAUCCAGCACGGAUAUCGGCAGGCACUACUGGUGAGUGUCUAGAUCGUAAAUGGAAUUCUACUCCUGCAAAGCACAUAGCAAUCUGGUGAAGUUGUAUCCCAGUUACAUCUUAGACGUUCCUCUGACUGAACCCGCUGCAAGCUUCACACGAGACUCUGCACCGGCAAGUGGCGAUGCCGCCGGCGUUGAUUUGGCUGUGCUAGCUAAACAAUAAUUAUUCAUUGUGAUUGUCCAUGAGAGUAUGGAUGUGUAAUUUUUCGUUCGUAGUCAGUGUUGCUGAUGUAACAAUCAUCAGUAAAAAGAUAAUCUAUUGAUUGAUAUUACCUAUGUAACCUUUUAUCUGAGGAGAUAUUUUGAAGAUUGAAUGUGUAAUAUGUAUAGUAAAAAAAUUACUAUCCACGUAC